rnacentral:rRNA from 1 species
UGCGGAGGGAUCAUUACCGAGUGUAAAAACUCCCAAACCAUUGUGAACCUACCACUGUUGCUUCGGCGGCCUCGCCCCGGGCGCGUUCGCGCGGCCCGGACCCAGGCGUCCGCCGGAGGCUCCAAACUCUUGUCUUUUAGUGUAUUUCUGAGUGGCAUAAGCAAAUAAAUCAAAACUUUCAGCAACGGAUCUCUUGGUUCUGGCAUCGAUGAAGAACGCAGCAAAAUGCGAUAAGUAAUGUGAAUUGCAGAAUUCAGUGAAUCAUCGAAUCUUUGAACGCACAUUGCGCCCGCCAGUAUUCUGGCGGGCAUGCCUGUCUGAGCGUCAUUUCAACCCUCAGGACCCGUUCGCGGGACCUGGCGUUGGGGAUCAGCCUGCCCCUGGCGGCGGCUGGCCCUGAAAUCCAGUGGCGGUUCCCUCGCGAACUCCUCCGUGCAGUAAUUAAACCUCUCGCGGCAGGAUAGCGGUUGAACCACGCCGUUAAACCCCCCACUUCUCAAGGUUGACCUCAGAUCAGGUAGGGAAUACCCGCUGAACUUAAGCAUA